rnacentral:misc_RNA from 1 species
GAUGCGACAGAGGUGCAGGCGAGAGCCAUUCUGAUGUUGGCUGCCCAAGAAAUGGAGGAUAAAAUGAGAAUAACUUCAACUGGGCCUUCUUCUUCUUCUUCGUCUUCGUUGUCGUCGGAACAACCUGUAUCGCCAACUUUGGAACCUCCUCCUCCGCCUGCUUAUGGCCCUAAUAAUAAUGGUUUGUCGAUGAAGAGAUCACUUCAAAGGUUCUUUCAGAAGAGAAAUCAUAGGAUCCAAGCAACUUACCCUUACAACAUUAACCGGCGGCCGCAUGCAUGCAGGGUCGAUCACCAUUGAUAAGGGAUCUCAUUUUUAUUCUUUCUUUCUUUCUUUCUAAACAAUUUAUCAGUUAUUAGUUAAUUCGCAUAGCAAGCAUAUAGAGGCUCCUAAAUUUUGUAUUGAU